rnacentral:rRNA from 1 species
AGAGUUUGAUCCUGGCUCAGGAUGAACGCUAGCGGCAGGCCUAAUAUAUGCAAGUCGAACGGUAAGUAGUGUAGCAAUACAUUGCCUAGAGUGACGUAAGGGUGCGUAACACGUAUGCAAUCUGCCCUGNUACAGGUGAAUAGCUCGGGGAAACUCGAAUUAACACACCGUAAUAUCAUGAAAAGGCAUCUUUUUAUGAUUAAAACUGACNGUGGUACAGGAUGAGCAUGCGCAUGAUUAGUUAGUUGGCGGGGUAACGGCCCACCAAGACGAUGAUCAUUAGGGGAACUGAGAGGUUGAUCCCCCACACUGGCACUGAGAUACGGGCCAGACUCCUACGGGAGGCAGCAGUAGGGAAUAUUGGACAAUGGGUGAGAGCCUGAUCCAGCCAUGCCGCGUGCAGNGAAGAAGGCCUUCUGGGNUUGUAAACUGCUUUUGCCAGGGGGAUAAAAAGCCCUUGCGAGGGAAAUUGAAGGUACCUGGUGAAUAAGCCACGGCUAACUACGUGCCAGCAGCCGCGGUAAUACGUANGUGGCAAGCGUUGUCCGGAUUUAUNGGGUUUAANGGGUGCGUAGGCGGUUCUAUAAGUCNGUGGUGAAAUCCGGCANCUCAACUGUCGANGUGCCAUUGAUACUGGCAGAACUNGANCUACAGACGAGGUANGCNGANUUGACGGUGGUNGCNGGUGAACANGCNUANNNUNUCGNNCNANAACCNCCNAUGGNCGAA